UGCAAGUUCGUGUUAAAAUAUACAAAUCGUUGUUAAGUUUGUUACUGCAACCCUUCGCAACAGAGGAUUACGCGUAGGGAGAUUUGUUGAAAUUGACACCAUCAUAUACAGCUAAAUGUACUCCGAGGAUCUAAAAUGGGUGUGCCAAGACAGAACAAUGCAAGUUCUAUGUCAGUUGAAUUGGAAUUACCAUUGUUAUGACGGCAGUUGUUCUUCAAAAGAGCUAACAUCAGAAUUAUGUGCAAAAUAGGUCUAGCAACCGUUAUUCCUUAUGCCGUAAACGAUCUCAUAGAGGUCGACGGUACUGAAAGAGCGAGCAGUCAAUAGUGAAUCAGGAAAAACGUGUGCACAUGAAAGUCAAAGGUUAGCGUAUGCUCUAAGCAAUGUUGGUAGGACUACCGCGUCGUCUGCGCUGGUGGGCUAGCUCCAGCCGAAGAACGGGCUCCAGUGUACAGAAUAUAGGCAGUUUAGUUCUGUCUAUAAUACCCAUAUGGGUCAACUGGUGCCUCGCCUGGAACGGGGUGUCCGGAGUGAAAAUAGAGCGCCUUUCCAUACCCAGUUCGGUAGAAAACGGCACGGCCGAUUCAGUGAUACUUGACUGCAUCUACUCCUAUAGCCAGGACGACCAACAACUAGUAGUCAAGUGGUUUUUUAACAAGGACCCAAAACCCAUCUACCAGUGGAUUCCCGACCUAAGCAAAAGAUCGUACACUUCAUCACCGCGUUUCGAAGGCCACAUCAACCGACACUACGUCGCCAGUCAAGAUUGGUAUACUCGAUACCGCGCGUUGAAUAUUUUGCGACCCACUACUGAUAUGAGCGGAACGUACUCGUGUUCUGUAACGUCGCUACAAAGUCAAGAUACUCGUGCUGCUGACAUGAUUGUCUACGCUAAACCGAAAAAAUUCGAUCUGAGCUUUCUUCAGCCGGAAGAUUCCGAAGAGACACAGUUCCGCUGCCAAGUGGAAGGAAUAUUUCCUCAACCACAAGUUUUAAUGUACAGAGUUGAACAAAUGAAUAUCGCUGGUGGGGAAUAUAUGAAUGUAGACAACAUGACGGGCCAGCUUAACUAUUCGGUUCAACCAAUAGCUGAACGAAGAUUAGCCGACGGUACAAGUGAAGUUCGAGAGUCGGCACUCAGCGUACAAGCCCAGCAACGUCGAGCGGCCCGUGAUGGCUAUUCAACGAUCCUCACGACGUCGUUAUCAAAUCGGCAUUUUCGUAGAGGUCAUUCGACGGCCAGGCACCUAUUUUUCUGCGUUUACUCGAUUCCUUCAACGGAUAUCAAACAAACGCGCGUUCUCGAAUUCUAUCCAGAACGGUACAUUUCAGGAACAACGAGUAGACACACGAGUAUAUUAAACUAUCUCGUAUUAGUUUUCGGUUACUUGGCGUUCCUUCAGAGGAUUACUGCAACAUCAUUAUUGUAAACUUAAAGCUGUACCAACCUCGUGGGACGACGGGUACGCCCGGAGGACUCUUAACGAUCCAAUUCAGAUCCGACUUACAUCAUCGUACAAUUUCGGCGUUGAAACCAGCGACCAUGGAAGGUUCAGGUCAAAAAAUCAACGAGAAGUAUUCAGCGGCCUACAGCAUGAACUAUGUGGCAGAACUCGAAAAGCAGCAAUUUCACAGAUUCCACUGCGAACCUAUCUCGCGUUCCCUCUUCCGGACUCUCGCGGUCUCUCUCUUGCGGAGAAAAAUGCUCCUGUUUGGCAGGUUCGCCACUACUCCUGAUUAGUCCAUUCUACUGCAUUGUGCGUAAAAGAAACAGUCCGCUAUUGAAGGUGAGGAAGGAGGCCCGAUUGAGUCAGCAACUUCAGGCACAACUAGGACCGCCCAGCAUGCCUCGGAAAGGCCAACAGGGUCCGGACGAAGCUAGGAGCUCUACCUGAACCUCGUCAAUAGACAAUAACGUAAGGAGGCAGUGUAUAUAAAGGAACUCCCUUGUGCAAUCAACCCUACACACCCAUUCUAGACGUCAUCACGACGACAUGCGGACAAUGUAUUAUGGGACAGGCGUUGGAAAUUCACCGGCGGUAACUCAGUGCGCCUGGUCUCUGUGCGGGUUCGUUGGUCCACCUUAUAGCUACAUUAGCCUGGGGGAGAGAAAUUGAACGACGUGAAAGCUAAGAGAAAAGUUUAGCGGAUAAACAUCAUACCUCUGUAACUAUAAUAGCAGAUGAAAUGGGAAGAGGACGUAAACGCUACUGUGCAAAAUUUUAGCAGCAAAUAACGGAGGCGUUUGAAUGAUUUGAGAAUCAAACGCAUGCCGGGUAUAUUAGCAAUACAUACAGACCUACUGGUAAGAAAACUGUUUGUAAAUAUAUUGAAUGCCGUUAUUAAGUGCAUUAUUAUUAUUAUUAUUAUUAGUAUUAUAGAGAAGCAAAGAGAGCCUACCCCCACCAUUCCUCUAACACUACGGACCUAUUUUUUUCUUUGUCGAUCGAAUAAGGUCGCUUUAGUCCCAUUCAGUCAUCGCAAUAUAGUCAUUGAAGUAUAUAAGUGAAAAGAACUAAAAUUUACUAUCGAAGAGCAUGGAACAUAUUUAAAAAAAAUAAUAACUAAGGAAAGCAACUGGCAAAAUUAGGUACGGAAUUAAAGAUGAUAUAAAUACUAAAUUAUCGUUUGUAAUUUAAAAUAGAAUUUAAUUAAAGAAAUGGGUAAGCAUAUAGUUGUUGACUGAACGGGUAAAAGAAAUGAGACAAAUGCUUGGUGGGAGCUGUAUAAAGUGUAAACUAUAAUUUUAAA